UUUGUCCCAUUCUUCCUGCAAACAUGUCUCAAGGAGUGCAACAGUACAGGGUCACUGCUGCAUUUCUGUUUGAAAAUUCUCCACAGUCUCUACUGGGGACAGAUGAGGACAGCAGGCAGGCCAGUCCAGUAUCCAUAACCACUUCUUCCACAGCCAUGCCUUUGUAGUGUUUUACGUGUAUUU